rnacentral:rRNA from 1 species
UAAGAGCGACGGGCGAGGUGGUAACUAGGAUUAGAUACCCUAUUAUUAUGAUAAUAAUAAAUAUUAGAGUAUUAAAUGAUAUAUCAUUAAAUUUAAAAAAGUUGGCAGUUUUAUUAAAUUAGGGGAACUUGUUUUUUAAUAGAUAAUCCACUUAAAAAUAAGCUUAAAAGUAUUUUAUGUAUUGCUGUUUUAAAUUAAUUUUUUUUUAAAUUAAUAAAAAUUAUAAUAAUAAAAUAAUUCAAGUCAAAGUGUAGAAUUUUUAAGAUAAGAUGAGUUACAAUUUAUAUUUAUUUAAUAAUUAUUUUUAAAGUAAAUUUGAUAGANGGAUUUAAAAGUAAAUUUAUAUAUUUAUAUAAGUUGAAUAUAAUAAAUAAUUUGUACACAUCGCCG